rnacentral:rRNA from 1 species
AUUGAACGCUGGCGGCAUGCCUUACACAUGCAAGUCGAACGGCAGCACGGGUGCUUGCACCUGGUGGCGAGUGGCGAACGGGUGAGUAAUACAUCGGAACGUACCUUAUCGUGGGGGAUAACGCAGCGAAAGCUGUGCUAAUACCGCAUACGCCCUGCGGGGGAAAGCGGGGGAUCGCAAGACCCCGCGCGAUUAGAGCGGCCGAUGCCUGAUUAGCUAGUUGGUGGGGUAAAAGCCCACCAAGGCGACGAUCAGUAGCUGGUCUGAGAGGACGAUCAGCCACACUGGGACUGAGACACGGCCCAGACUCCUACGGGAGGCAGCAGUGGGGAAUUUUGGACAAUGGGGGCAACCCUGAUCCAGCAAUGCCGCGUGAGUGAAGAAGGCCUUCGGGUUGUAAAGCUCUUUUGUCAGGGAAGAAACACCGGCUCUAACACAGUCCGGGAAUGACGGUACCUGAAGAAUAAGCACCGGCUAACUACGUGCCAGCCGCCGCCGUAA